UAUUUUACAAUUUUGUAAAAUUGAAAGUGUUUAAAUAGAGGUAAAGCUUAUUAUUAUGUACAGUUAGAUUAGAAAAUAAUAAAACAUUAUUUAUUGUCGAAAACUGGUAAUGACAAUUAUAAAGUAUAGAGGUAGAUUGUAGUGUAUUUGUAUCUAAAUAUUAUUUUAAAAGUAAAUAUAAAUUGAAAUAGAUCUGAUCUCAUUCUAGAAAAAAAAAUUGAAUCUUUCUUUAAUAAAAUAAAACAACUAAGCGCAGAUAUUUAGAAAUUGAAUGAGUGAACAAAUCAUAUAAACCCAAACAUUAUUCUAUCAAAAAAAUUCAAGUAUAUACAUUUUUAAAUAAGUUCAAAUCAUUUCAAAGAUUAAUAUUCCUAAACAAGAAAAUCAAAAUGAGAAUUUUCUUUGUGAAAGUUAAAUUUUGUGUUAGUAAAAAAAGUUAUAAUUUUGUUGAUCAGGAAAAAAAAAUGAUAAAAUAAUAAGGUGAAAAGAAAUAUAAGGGAAAAGACAAAGAAGAUGGAUGACCAGAUAAGUUAGAUAGCCGUCCGCCGACCUACAACGUACGCAUCAAAACAAAGCCUCACAAGUCCCUUCUUCCCAAAUCCAUAACUAUUUGGACAUGUUAGUUUCAACUAUGGUUUAAUUCGGUCUGCUUUCCGUGUGACCAGGAGUCGUAAGUCGAAACUGCGUAGUGGUGUUUUUUACAUGAAACUUAAACUUGGUUAUUGUCCAACGUGAGAAACUAGAAAUAUACUAUCACCUUAUUGUCACACCACGAUUUGAAUUUGAUAUCUAAUCUGUUUACAUUAAAAAUAUUUAUGAGGGGGAUGGUGAUGUAUGCAACUAAAGCAUGGAUUGAUAUGAAGAGGGAGUAGCUCAGAUAUUGACGUAACGAUGUUUCGUUUCUUCUGAUGGAGAAUCAAAGCCCAUUCCUCAAUAAGCCUUACACCAACGUCUUGUCACUCCAGAUUAUACCAAACCCAUCCUUCUUUACCAUUAUUUGUUUAUUGAAUUACCUCAAAUAUUCUCAGUUUAUUUCACAAUUUUAGACAAUUUUUAUUUAGGUUUUGAAAUUAUAUAACUGGUUCAACGUGUGGGUAGUUUUUAACACGAUGUCAGAACCGCAGCAACUCUUGACUCAAAGUACGUGAAUGUUUUGUUUUCUAGUAUCUAUUCUGUUCCAUGCUGUAUUUAACAACGAAUCAUAAAGAAAGGUGUAACGUAGUAAUGUUCAAUGAAUAUAAGAUAGUCCAGCCGUAUUUAAAGCAUUGUCCACUUUUGUAAGUUUAUUUGAGUUAAGAGAGAUCGCGUUGAACUUGAAGUUUGAAUAGGUAUUUAUUCUAUUUUUUUUCUCGUCCUAAUAAUUUGAAUAAAUUAUUUAUCGGACUUACGUCUUAAUGGGGUUUAAAUUUAUAAGAAACUACGUAUACGUCUCUUUGUAUUGUAAGCUCGAAAGGGAAAGUCCAUGCUCUUAGUUUUGGUAUUUUCCUUCGUAAUUUUCUGCUUCAUUCAAUUUUUGAAAUACAAGAAGCUUUUAUAUAAUACGUCUUCAUCGUUGGCAGAGCGAUUUAACCAAAUUUAUUUAUUUUAAUGUUUUCUGCCUUCUGUUAUUAUCUUAUGAUUUGCUAUCAAAUUCGAACUUUAAAAAAUGUGUCUGCUGGGUACAUUGGAUGAUUUUAGGAUUUUAAAAUAACUUUGAUUCAUAGUUGUGAGUUCGCGUCCAUUACCUAGCGUUUUCAUGCAUUAUAUUAAUUCCUUGACGGUGCAUAUAGCUAAACGACUGCGUCAUAUAAUUAAAAUUUUGUAUUGAAAAACGUUUACAAACUCAUAAGAUUGGAACUUCAUGAAUCCCCAACUGAAUUAACUAGUACACGCACUGACUUCGUCAAAAUAUAAAACGUCAAAAUAUAAAACCAAAAACAAAAUUGCAAUAUCGGAUUUAACAUUUUACCAAAAACAAACUGCAAUAUCGAAGUAUGUACUAUAAUGCUUUUAAUAGAUUGUUCUUUAAUAUCUGGCUUAUAUUACAAGUUAUAUUAUGAGUUAUUUUCAUGCUAGGUCACUUUCUCAGUUUAUAUUACACUUUAGAACACUUUCAACUACCAAGGUAGUUUUUACAUGGUUGUUUACCUUGUUGUCCUUGGUUAACCAAACGAGAAUAAGUGUUUAGUGGCUCCUCUUCUUCGGUUAAUAUUCUUUUUUAAAUAAAACAAUUAAAAAAUCUGGAACAUAAAGCAUAUUAAUAAAUUGGUUUUAACUUUCAUCUCUUAUCUUAUCUCUUUGCACGGUAACCAAAGCAAAACUUUGUUGAGAAAAGUUACGGAAAUUUACGACGGAGGCAAAGAGAUCUGACGACAGAGACAAUGGGCUAAGAUGGCAUUACGUCGGCAACGUUUGGGAAAGAUAGAUUCGACAGUGAACACCUUUUUUCUAUGGUGUGGACUUUGACUAAGUUGAAAUCGAGACUUGACGAUUUCCUCAAGUCAAGAUCAACAAGGCAGUUCGAAAACGACUUCAUUUUGAUCAGAUUCGUCAUCGACAAAGCUCCACCUACUCUGAUUCUGAGAAAUUUUGUCAGCGACUUGGGAUGAAUCUAGCUUGAGUUGACUCAGUAAGAGAUGAGCCCAGUAAUUUCAUGUGUAGUGUUGGUAGAGAGCGAGUGACGCAUCAGGCGUGGUGAGGAUAAGAGAGAGUGACGACUGAAAGGAGAGAAAACAACCAUAUAAAAGCCAUAGUGCAUCACACCAAAAUUGAAGUGUUAAAAAAGAGCCACUCAAUAAGCUAUCAAUGUAAUUGACAGCCACAUCUGCUCCUUCUAAGCUUUUUUUUAAUCCUGUCAUAGUUAAAGAUAGUUUGUUUAUUGUUUGUAAUUUAAGGAAUUCAGUAACAUGAAUCUGUGGCUCUAAUAAAAUUAUAUGGACAACAAUUACUGUACACUAAGAUGAUGAGUAUAUGAGUGUCCAUAUGGAUACAAUAGUUCUUGUACACCUUUUAUAGUGUCCACAUGGAUACUUUAAAAUUUCGACCUUUUUUAAUGUCCAUAAUGAUAUGGAAUUAUGGAUACAUAGUUCUUGUGCACUUAUCUCUAUUUCUCUAAACUUGUUUCCAUCUCAUGAUCUUCAAACCUUACCCGAUAAGCUAACAUAUAUAUUUGAUACUCAUUCCAAAAAAGAAUUUUAGAGUGUACAUGUGUACAAGAGUUGUUGUGUACAUAUGUUUUUGUACAUAUGUACAAGAUUGUAUCUUCUUGGUGUACACAUAUAUACAAAUGUAUAUUCAAACAACAUCAAAAAACAAAUUCAUGAUUUAAGUGGUCCAUCUGCAAAGUAUAUGGCAAUAAUACAAGCACAAUAACUCAGAUAUAUAAACUCUAGAUGCCAAACAAAGUUUAUUCUCCACCAAAAGACGUUACAUGAUUCCAACAAUGAGGCGUUAAACAAUCAAAAGUUCCAACAAUGGGAGUUUGGCUCCUAGUCUAGCUCACAUACUUGCGAUUAAAACUCAAAAAGAGAGAAGCUUUUCUUCUCUAUCUCUCUAAUGUGUAAACUGUAAUAAAUUAAGCUGUAAGCUGUAACCUUUCUGAGUGAGCCACCGUCGCGAAGCCCCAGAACUGGUAAAUUCAUGCAAGACGAAAAAGCAAAACGAAGAUUCUUGUCUUUUCAUGUUCUCAAGCUCAGUUCGUGAGCAGGGACAUAAUCUAAACGAGGAAUUGACAGAGUGAGGGCAUCUUAAGUUCAGUUCGUGUACUCAAAGCGUCUCCAUUUCUUCAAAUCAAUUACCAAACUCUUGUAUUGAAGUAGAAAGGUGAACAUGUCUCGGAGAUGAGAAAGUGGAAGAAGAUGCUCUCAGGAUAAAGUGGGAGUUGGAGGAUGGAGUUGACGGCUGCGACUGAGCGAUUCUGAAAUCAACGCCGGAGAAGGGUUGCAGAUGACGGAAUUAACGCCGGAGAAUCUAUGUGGAUGAAAGAAGGAGGGCAGACGCCGGAAUCAACGCCUGAGAAUGUGCAUCGACGGGCAGACGCCGGAAUCAACGCCAACAUUUUGUUUGUUUCGGAGGCAAGCGAAUGGAUAUCGGAGGCAGGGUGUCGUAGAGGUAAAUGAUUUAAGGCUACCUCUCUCAAAAAAAAAAAUUAAAGGAUUUUCUUUUACAGAAAGUAAAAGUGCGAAGUCAUUGUGUUUGCCGACAAUGUGUUUUGAGUUUCUUGGUAAGGAUAAAACUAGGUUAAGUAAACUGAGAAAUAAAAAGGGUAGGGUUGUCAUUUUGUAUAAUCAAUGUGUAUAAUUUAGUGUGAGAAAGUACCUUAGGAGUGAAAAGUGACUUACCGUGUAAUAUAAAAGAGGAAAAGUGACCUCUGGUGUAAAUGUUUCUUAUAUUAUCCCCUGUACAUUAAAAAAGAAGUCACUUUAGUGAUUUCUGCUGACAUUACAUUAAUAUAGAGCUUCUCAGAAAAUUUGUUAUAA